UACGAAGGGGGCUAGCGUUGCUCGGAAUCACUGGGCGUAAAGGGCGCGUAGGCGGAUCUUUAAGUCAGGGGUGAAAGCCUGAGGCUCAACCUCAGAAUUGCCUUUGAUACUGGCGAUCUCGAGUCCGGGAGAGGUGAGUGGAACUGCGAGUGUAGAGGUGAAAUUCGUAGAUAUUCGCAAGAACACCAGUGGCGAAGGCGGCUCACUGGCCCGGUACUGACGCUGAGGUGCGAAAGCGUGGGGAGCAAACAGG
rnacentral:rRNA from 1 species